AACACAUGCAAGUCGAACGGGUAACAGGAAGCAGCUUGCUGCUUCGCUGACGAGUGGCGGACGGGUGAGUAAUGUCUGGGAAGCUGCCUGAUGGAGGGGGAUAACUACUGGAAACGGUAGCUAAUACCGCAUAAUGUCGCAAGACCAAAGAGGGGGACCUUCGGGCCUCUUGCCAUCGGAUGUGCCCAGAUGGGAUUAGCUUGUUGGUGGGGUAACGGCUCACCAAGGCGACGAUCCCUAGCUGGUCUGAGAGGAUGACCAGCCACACUGGAACUGAGACACGGUCCAGACUCCUACGGGAGGCAGCAGUGGGGAAUAUUGCACAAUGGGCGCAAGCCUGAUGCAGCCAUGCCGCGUGUAUGAAGAAGGCCUUCGGGUCGUAAAGUACUUUCAGCGGGGAGGAAGGGAGUAAAGUUAAUUACCUUUGCUCAUUGACGUUACCCGCAGAAGAAGCACCGGCUAACUCCGUGCCAGCAGCCGCGGUAAUACGGAGGGUGCAAGCGUUAAUCGGAAUUACUGGGCGUAAAGCGCACGCAGUCGGUUUGUUAAGUCAGAUGUGAAAUCCCCGGGCUCAACCUGGGAACUGCAUCUGAUACUGGCAAGCUUGAGUCUCGUAGAGGGGGGUAGAAUUCCAGGUGUAGCGGUGAAAUGCGUAGAGAUCUGGAGGA
rnacentral:rRNA from 1 species